UACGAAGGGGGCUAGCGUUGUUCGGAAUUACUGGGCGUAAAGGGCGCGUAGGCGGUGUGUCAAGUCAGGCGUGAAAGCCCCGGGCUCAACCUGGGAACCGCGCUUGAGACUGGCACGCUAGAGUUCGGGAGAGGAUGGUGGAAUUCCCAGUGUAGAGGUGAAAUUCGUAGAUAUUGGGGAAGAACACCGAUGGCGAAGGCAGCCCAUCUGGACCGACACUGACGCUGAGGCGCGGAAAGCGUGGGGAGCAAACAGG
rnacentral:rRNA from 1 species